rnacentral:rRNA from 1 species
UUACAGAGGGUGCGAGCGUUGUCCGGAAUCACUGGGCGUAAAGGGCGCGUAGGUGGCGCUCCAAGUCCGUGGUGAAAGCUCGAUGCGUUAACAUCGAGUCGGCCACGAGACUGGAGGGCUCGAGCACUGUAGGGGCAGAUGGAAUUCCGGGUGUAGCGGUGGAAUGCGUAGAGAUUCCGGAAGAACACCGGUGGCGAAGGCGGUCUGCUGGGCAGUUGCUGGACGACUGAGGACGCGACACGUGGGGAGCAAAACAGGGAUUAAGAAACCCGGGUAGG